rnacentral:rRNA from 1 species
CCACUAGCGUAUAUUAAAGUUGUUGCAGUUAAAAAGCUCGUAGUUGAAUUUUAGGCCUGGCCGGGCGGUCCGUCUUUGGCGAGUACUGUCCUGUGUCGGGUCCACCUUCUGGUGAACCAGUAUGUCCUUUAUUGGGUGUGCCGGGGAGCCAGGACCAUUACCUUGAAAAAAUUAGAGUGUUUAAAGCAGGCAUUUGCUUGAAUAGAUUAGCAUGGAAUAAUAGAAUAGGACGUUGUGGUUCUAUUUUGUUGGUUUCUAGGACCACCGUAAUGAUUAAUAGGGAUAGUUGGGGGCAUUAGUAUUCAAUUGUCAGAGGUGAAAUUCUUGGAUUUAUUGAAGACUAACUACUGCGAAAGCAUUUGCCAAGGAUGUUUUCAUUAAUCAAGAACGAAAGUUAGGGGAUCGAAGACGAUCAGAUACCGUCGUAGUCUUAACCAUAAACUAUGCCGACUAGGAAUCGGGCGAUGUUGACAAAAUGACGCGCUCGGCACCUCAUG